UACGGAGGAUGCGAGCGUUAUCCGGAUUUAUUGGGUUUAAAGGGUGCGUAGGCGGACUGUCAAGUCAGCGGUAAAAUUGAGAGGCUCAACCUCUUCCCGCCGUUGAAACUGGUGGUCUUGAGUGGAUGAGAAGUACGCGGAAUGCGUGGUGUAGCGGUGAAAUGCAUAGAUAUCACGCAGAACUCCGAUUGCGAAGGCAGCAUACCGGCAUCCAACUGACGCUGAGGCACGAAAGCGUGGGGAUCAAACAGG
rnacentral:rRNA from 1 species